AUUGAACGCUGGCGGCAUGCCUUACACAUGCAAGUCGAACGGCAGCGGACCUUCGGGUGCCGGCGAGUGGCGAACGGGUGAGUAAUAUAUCGGAACGUACCUUUCAGUGGGGGAUAACGUAGCGAAAGUUACGCUAAUACCGCAUAUUCUGUGAGCAGGAAAGCAGGGGAGUCGCAAGACCUUGCGCUGAUUGAGCGGCCGAUAUCAGAUUAGCUAGUUGGUGAGGUAAAGGACUCACCAAGGACGACGAUCUGUAGCGGGUCGUGAGAGGAUGAUCCGCCACACUGGAACUGAGACACGGUCCAGACUCCUACGGGAGGCAGCAGUGGGGAA
rnacentral:rRNA from 1 species